GCCAGACUCCUACGGGAGGCAGCAGUGAGGAAUAUUGGUCAAUGGGCGGGAGCCUGAACCAGCCAAGUCGCGUGAGGGAAGACGGUCCUAUGGAUUGUAAACCUCUUUUGUCGGGGAGCAAAGAGGCCACGUGUGGUCAAAAGCGAGAGUACCCGAAGAAAAAGCAUCGGCUAACUCCGUGCCAGCAGCCGCGGUAAUACGGAGGAUGCGAGCGUUAUCCGGAUUUAUUUGGUUUAAAGGGUGCGUAGGCAGGCUGUUAAGUCAGCGGUCAAAUGUCGGGGCCCAACCCCGGCCUGCCGUUGAAACUGGCGGCCUCGAGUGGGCGAGAAGUAUGCGGAAUGCGUGGUGUAGCGGUGAAAUGCAUAGAUAUCACGCAGAACUCCGAUUGCGAAGGCAGCAUACCGGCGCCCUACUGACGCUGAGGCACGAAAGCGUGGGUAUCGAACAGGAUUAGAUACCCCUGUA
rnacentral:rRNA from 1 species